UAGUAUUCAAUUGUCAGAGGUGAAANNCUUGGAUUUAUUGAAGACUAACUACUGCGAAAGCAUUUGCCGAGGAUGUUUUCAUUAAUCAAGAACGAAAGUUAGGGGAUCGAAGACGAUCAGAUACCGUCGUAGUCUUAACCAUAAACUAUGCCGACUAGGGAUCGGAUGAUGUUAAUUUUUUAAUGACUCA
rnacentral:rRNA from 1 species